AACCCCUAAAAGCCGUCCCAGUUCGGAUUGCAGGCUGCAACCCGCCUGUAUGAAGUUGGAAUCGCUAGUAAUCGCGGAUCAGCAUGCCGCGGUGAAUACGUUCCCGGGCCUUGUACACACCGCCCGUCAUACCAUGAGAGUCGGGAACACCCGAAGUCCGUAGUCUAACUUUCACGAGAGGACGCGGCCGAAGGUGGGUUCGAUAAUUGGGGUGAAGUCGUAACAAGGUAAC
rnacentral:rRNA from 1 species